ACUCGUGUUUUGAUGAAUGUGCCCCAGAGUGUAGGAAGAAACCCACACAGACACAGGAAGAACAUAAAAGCGGCCCUUUUCCUGUUUAUCCAAAAGGCUGUCCCUGAGUGCCGGAUCACAUCAUUCUUCUCCCUUCACUCGAGGGCCGGCAUGGAUCCCAGGAAUCCUAAUACUGACCUUUAAAUGACCUGACGUGGAAUAUGAAGAUUUGCAGUUUCCUGUGAAAUGUACUUAGCAUGGCAAAUUAUGAAUCAGAUUACUUUCUAUUGCUGUUAACUUUUAGCUUAAUAAACUCCAUUUAAUGCAAA